rnacentral:rRNA from 1 species
AAUCUGCCCGGUUGUGGGGGAUAACGUAGGGAAACUUACGCUAAUACCGCAUACGACCGAAAGGUGAAAGCGUGGGAUCCGCAAGGACCUCGCGCAGCCGGAUGAGCCGAUGUCGGAUUAGCUAGUUGGCGGGGUAAAGGCCCACCAAGGCGACGAUCCGUAGCUGGUCUGAGAGGAUGAUCAGCCACACUGGGACUGAGACACGGCCCAGACUCCUACGGGAGGCAGCAGUGGGGAAUAUUGGACAAUGGGGGCAACCCUGAUCCAGCAAUGCCGCGUGUGUGAAGAAGGCCUUCGGGUUGUAAAGCACUUUUAUCCGGAACGAAACGCGCUUGGUGAAUAGCCAGGCGAACUGACGGUACCGGAGGAAUAAGCACCGGCUAACUUCGUGCCAGCAGCCGCGGUAAUACGAAGGGUGCAAGCGUUACUCGGAAUUACUGGGCGUAAAGCGUGCGUAGGUGGUUUGUUAAGUCUGUUGUGAAAGCCCCGGGCUCAACCUGGGAAUGGCAAUGGAUACUGGCAGGCUAGAGUGCGGUAGAGGGUAGUGGAAUUCCCGGUGUAGCGGUGAAAUGCGUAGAGAUCGGGAGGAACACCAGUGGCGAAGGCGGCUACCUGGACCAGCACUGACACUGAGGCACGAAAGCG